rnacentral:rRNA from 1 species
UCCCCUACGGGGGACAAGUAGAGUGGCGCACGGGUGAGUAACACGUAGGUAAUCUACCUUCGGAUGGGGAAUAACACCGAGAAAUCGGUGCUAAUACCGCAUAAUGCAGCGGCACCUAAUGGUGACAGUUGUUAAAGCGGGGGAUCGCAAGACCUCGCGUCUGAAGAGGAGCCUGCGGCGGAUUAGCUAGUUGGUAAGGUAACGGCUUACCAAGGCGACGAUCCGUAACCGGCCUGAGAGGGCGGUCGGUCACACUGACACUGACAUACGGGUCAGACUCCUACGGGAGGCAGCAGUCGGGAAUUUUGGGCAAUGGGCGAAAGCCUGACCCAGCAACGCCGCGUGAAGGAUGAAAUCCCUCGGGAUGUAAACUUCGCAAGAACGGGAAGAAUAAGGUCGUGUAAAUACCACGAUCGAUGACGGUACCGUUUGUAAGCUCCGGCUAACUCCGUGCCAGCAGCCGCGGUAAUACGGGGGGAGCAAGCGUUGUUCGGAUUUACUGGGCGUAAAGGGCGCGUAGGCGGCCAGCACAAGUCAGUUGUGAAAUCUCCGAGCUUAACUCGGAAAGGUCAACUGAUACUGUGCGGCUAGAGUGCAGAAGGGGCAACUGGAAUUCUCGGUGUAGCGGUGAAAUGCGUAGAUAUCGAGAGGAACACCUGCGGCGAAGGCGGGUUGCUGGGCUGACACUGACGCUGAGGCGCGAAAGCUAGGGGAGCGAACGGGAUUAGAUACCCCGGUAGUCCUAGCCUUAAACGAUGAAUGCUCGGUGUCUGGGGUUAUAUAGUCCCCGGGUGCCGUCGC